UGGGGGAUAUUGCACAAUGGGCGAAAGCCUGAUGCAGCGACGCCGCUUGGGGGAUGAAGGCCUUCGGGUUGUAAACUUCUUUUGCUCUGAACAAGGCGCACCAUGGGGUGUGUUGAGUGUAGGGGUUGAUUAGCGCCGGCUAACUACGUUCCAGCAGCCGCGGUAAUACGUAGGGCGCGAGCGUUGUCCGGAAUUAUUGGGCGUAAAGGGCUUGUAGGUGGCUGGUUGCGUCUGUCGUGAAAGCUCAUGGCUUAACUGUGGGUUUGCGGUGGGUACGGGCUGGCUUGAGUGCAGUAGGGGAGGCUGGAAUUCCUGGGGUAGCGGUGGAAUGCGCAGAUAUCAGGAGGAAUACCGGUGGCGAAGGCGGGUCUCUGGGCUGUUACUGACACUGAGGAGCGAAAGCAUGGGGGGCGAACAGG
rnacentral:rRNA from 1 species